rnacentral:rRNA from 1 species
AUUGAACGCUGGCGGCAUGCCUUACACGUGCAAGUCGAACGGCAGCACGGGUGCUUGCACCUGGUGGCGAGUGGCGAACGGGUGAGUAAUACAUCGGAACGUACCUUAUCGUGGGGGAUAACGCAGCGAAAGCUGUGCUAAUACCGCAUACGCCCUGAGGGGGAAAGCGGGGGAUCGCAAGACCUCGCGCGAUUAGAGCGGCCGAUGCCUGAUUAGCUUGUUGGUGGGGUAAAAGCCCACCAAGGCGACGAUCAGUAGCUGGUCUGAGGGGACGAUCAGCCACACUGGGACUGAGACACGGCCCAGACUCCUACGGGAGGCAGCAGUGGGGAAUUUUGGACAAUGGGGGCAACCCUGAUCCAGCAAUGCCGCGUGAGUGAAGAAGGCCUUCGGGUUGUAAAGCUCUUUUGUCAGGGAAGAAACACCGGCUCUAACACAGUCCGGGAAUGACGGUACCUGAAGAAUAAGCACCGGCUAACUACGUGCCAGCAGCCGCGGUAA